AUUUAAGUAGUUUAAUUAAAAAAAUUCUGAUUUGUGGUGUCAGCGAUACAAAUUUUUUUUGUCUUAGAUC
rnacentral:tRNA from 1 species